UACAGAGGUCUCAAGCGUUGUUCGGAUUCAUUGGGCGUAAAGGGUGCGUAGGUGGCGGGGCCAGUCAGGUGUGAAAUCCCGGGGCUUAACCCUGGAACUGCAUUUGAUACUGCCUUGCUGGAGAACUGGAGAGGAGACUGGAAUUUACGGUGUAGCAGUGAAAUGCGUAGAGAUCGUAAGGAAGACCAGUGGCGAAGGCGACUACCUGGCCUGUUCUUGACGCUGAGGCACGAAGGCCAGGGGAGCAAACGGG
rnacentral:rRNA from 1 species